rnacentral:lncRNA from 1 species
AGGCCUAAAUGAAUAAAGGCAUGACACUGAGAUUGAAGGCUAGUUCUACUUCAGAACCACAGAGACAUGAGCACCAGCAAGUUUGAGGUUGGAUAAGGAUCUUCAGAACUCCUCAGCUUCAGAUGGUCAAGCACUGCUUCCUCCCUUCUUCAACGGCAUCUCUAGCAUGUAUACUUCCCUUAAAUCCACCUUCGUAGCAUUUGCUGAUGGAAGAGGCACAACAGAGUCCAUGCCUUCACCUCCUCUGGCCAACUCUAAUCAUGAAUCUCCUGUGAAUCAGCUGGGAAACAUGCAGAAUAUGAGAUUGGGGCCCUCAUUCAUACUAACUGGAAUUUUCCUUGGCAAUGGUAGAACAGAAGCUUCUCCAUUCUUUACAGAUGAAUUUGCUUUAAGUAAGAUCUUCCCAGAGUACAAAAGAAAUUUAUUCGGAAAAUUUCAAACUAAUAUCCUUUGCAAGGUGAGCUACACCUCUGAGAGGAGCUCCUGGAAAUUACCAGAUACUUAAUGUUGCCAGCUGUUACAGAUGGAGGUGAUGCACCUUGAUGAUGCAUAAGUACUGAGCCUGAAUCCUACAAAUGGGAAAAGGUGCUCAUAUCAGACUUAUGCAUUAGAUAUCAAACUACAAAAUACAAGUGCAGUUGAUACCUGUUUAGAUGAUGUAGAGCAAGGUAACAGAGUAUGUAUUAAAAGCAAAAAUUCCCAUGAA